GGGGGGGGGGGGGGGGGGGGCGGGGGGGGGCGGGGGGGGCGAACGGGGGAGAAGCUUGCUGCUCUGAUGUUAGCGGCGGACGGGGGAGUAACACGUGGAUAACCUACCUAUAAGACUGGGAUAACUUCGGGAAACCGGAACUAAUACCGGAUGAUAUUUUGAACCGCAUGGUUCAAAAGUGAAAGACGGGCUUGCUGUCACUUAUAGAUGGAUCCGCGCUGCAUUAGCUAGUUGGUAAGGUAACGGCUUACCAAGGCAACGAUGCAUAGCCGACCUGAGAGGGUGAUCGGCCACACUGGAACUGAGACACGGUCCAGACUCCUACGGGAGGCAGCAGUAGGGAAUCUUCCGCAAUGGGCGAAAGCCUGACGGAGCAACGCCGCGUGAGUGAUGAAGGUCUUCGGAUCGUAAAACUCUGUUAUUAGGGAAGAACAUAUGUGUAAGUAACUGUGCACAUCUUGACGGUACCUAAUCAGAAAGCCACGGCUAACUACGUG
rnacentral:rRNA from 1 species